rnacentral:rRNA from 1 species
AUGAACGCUGGCGGCGUGCCUAAUACAUGCAAGUCGAGCGAACGGACGAGAAGCUUGCUUCUCUGAUGUUAGCGGCGGACGGGUGAGUAACACGUGGAUAACCUACCUAUAAGACUGGGAUAACUUCGGGAAACCGGAGCUAAUACCGGAUAAUAUUUUGAACCGCAUGGUUCAAAAGUGAAAGACGGUCUUGCUGUCACUUGUAGAUGGAUCCGCGCUGCAUUAGCUAGUUGGUAAGGUAACGGCUUACCAAGGCAACGAUGCAUAGCCGACCUGAGAGGGUGAUCGGCCACACUGGAACUGAGACACGGUCCAGACUCCUACGGGAGGCAGCAGUAGGGAAUCUUCCGCAAUGGGCGAAAGCCUGACGGAGCAACGCCGCGUGAGUGAUGAAGGUCUUCGGAUCGUAAAACUCUGUUAUUAGGGAAGAACAUAUGUGUAAGUAACUGUGCACAUCUUGACGGUACCUAAUCAGAAAGCCACGGCUAACUACGUG